UACGUAGGGGGCUAGCGUUGUCCGGAUUUAUUGGGCGUAAAGAGCGUGUAGGCGGCCAUGUAGGUCCGGUGUGAAAACUCGAGGCUUAACCUCGAGAUGUCAUCGGAAACCAUUUGGCUAGAGUCCGGAAGAGGAGAGUGGAAUUCCUGGUGUAGCGGUGAAAUGCGCAGAUAUCAGGAGGAAUACCGGUGGUGUAGACGGCUCUCUGGACCGCCACUGACGCUGAGACACGAAAGCGUGGGUAGCAAACAGG
rnacentral:rRNA from 1 species